AUUGAACGCUGGCGGCAUGCCAUACACAUGCAAGUCGAACGGUAACAGGUCUUCGGAUGCUGACGAGUGGCGAACGGGUGAGUAAUACAUCGGAACGUGCCCGAUCGUGGGGGAUAACGGAGCGAAAGCUUUGCUAAUACCGCAUACGAUCUACGGAUGAAAGCAGGGGACCGCAAGGCCUUGCGCGGACGGAGCGGCCGAUGGCAGAUUAGGUAGUUGGUGGGAUAAAAGCUGACCAAGCCGACGAGCUGUAGCUGGUCUGAGAGGACGACCAGCCACACUGGGACUGAGACACGGCCCAGACGCGUACGGGAGGCAGCAGUGGGGAAUUUUGGACAAUGGGAGAAAGCCUGAUCCAGCCAUGCCGCGUGCAGGAUGAAGGCCUUCGGGUUGUAAACUGCUUUUGUACGGAACGAAAAGCCUCUUCCUAAUAAAGAGAGGUCAUGACGGUACCGUAAGAAUAAGCACCGGCUAACUACGUGCCAGCAGCCGCGGUAAAAC
rnacentral:rRNA from 1 species